GACGGUGUGGUGUAGUGGUUGGAAAAAUGGACUAUGACUCUGAAGACCAGGGUUCGAAUCCCUGCUUGCAUG